UACGUAGGGGGCAAGCGUUGUCCGGAUUUACUGGGCGUAAAGAGCGUGUAGGCGGCCAAGCAGGUCCGUUGUGAAAACUGGAGGCUUAACCUCCAGACGUCGACGGAAACCGCGUGGCUAGAGUCCGGAAGAGGAGAGUGGAAUUCCUGGUGUAGCGGUGAAAUGCGCAGAUAUCAGGAAGAACACCAGUGGCGAAGGCGGCUCACUGGCCCGGUACUGACGCUGAGGUGCGAAAGCGUGGGGAGCAAACAGG
rnacentral:rRNA from 1 species